rnacentral:rRNA from 1 species
CAGAUACUUGGUAAAUGCGGCUAGCUGAAAAGCUAAUACCGCGAAGCUACCAUCUGUUGGAUUACGACUGAACGCCUCUAAGUCGGAAUCCAUGCUGGCUAAGCAGUGUUAUCCACCGCUUCCACAAUUACAUGACAAGCAUUAGGUUUCGACCCUGUUGCAUACGAACCACUUCUACCGCUAAAGGUUGUGUGGCUAAUCUCAAUUUCAAAUUUUGGAAGUGAUAAACCUUUUGCAGACGACUUAACU